rnacentral:tRNA from 1 species
UCCCUGGUGGCCCAGUGGAUAGGGCUUGGCACUUUCACUGCAGUGGCCCGAGUUCGAUCCCUGGUCUGAGAA